GCUCCUGCGAGGUGCACGCGAGGAUCUGGUCCAGGACGUGCUUGAACGGCGUGUCGCCGUCGAACACCCUCACCUGGAUGCCCAGCCGUUCGUCCGAAUUUUUCAGGACACAAUGCCGAGGAAGCGCAAAGGAGAUGGUGAUGGGAUUGAUGAGGUUCCUUCGAAAAAGGCGAAGUGCCCUCCUCCGCGGAACAGAGCCUCAUCCAGUUCGCUUCUUUUAGCUUGCAAAGACAUGAAUGAUGACAGGAAGGUUGCCAUUGAUGAGAUGGACUUCACAAGCCUUCAGAAUAUCCAGUGUGACCAUCUCUUCAACAAUCUCAGUGUGUGGCUUGCUGAUCUGUACAAUCCCGAUUCCCGUGGGGUGGUCGUACCAGGGCGGGGCAGGCUUCCGGUUAAUGAGGAAUAUGUGCAUCGUGUUAUGGGCGUGCCGCGUGGAGGGGAGGAUGUCCCUUACAACCUCCCUACAGAAGCUGAUGUUGAGUUAGGGCUUGAGUUGUUUGGCGAACUUGGAUAUGCCCCUAAGAUGACUGAUCUUGUUGAUCUCAUAAAGGGUUCUGAAAAUGCUGAUGAUACUUUCAAGCGUAUGUGGCUUUUUCUUGCGGGGAAUACAAUCAUUGCCCCGACCACCUCCAACAAAGUGAGCCCUAGAUGGUAUGCUGUGCUGCUUCUUUGUUCAACUUGCAACGUGACAUCAAUGGUAUUAAAAAUCUCAAUUGGUCCAAAUUCAUUGCUGACGAAUUACAAAGGGCGCUACUGAAACGCAAGCCUACCAGGGGUUGCCUUCUCUUCUACAAUCUAUUGUACAUUCAUGCGAUUGAUCUUUUUGGACUCGGCAUCGUAUUGCCUGAUGGUCCUUUUCCUAUCAAUGUCUAGACGAAGAAGCUGAUAACUCUUGUCCUCAACAAGGAUGUUCAGGCUGACAAAGUUUCUUUCAGGAAACUACCGGUAAUCUAUAUCUAUGUUUUCAGUUCACACACUGCUUGCAAUUGCAUUUUCUUUUCAUUGUUUUUUGUUAUUACUUAUCUGACUUGUCACUACAUUUUUUUGCAGUUGAAAAGCCUGAGUUUGCAUGAAUUUCUAUCUGUUUGGUGGUCUGGAAGGUCUUGAUAAGUUUAUGCAUGUUCAUGCUGCCCCAAGCUGCAGUCAGGAGAAAUUUUCCAAAUCUACUCAGAUAGUUGCUCGAUUCACGUCCGCCAUGGCUGUCAUACUAGGCGAACUUGUGCAAUCAUUCACCGCUUUGGAUGAUGAGGGCCAUUCAGAUGCCUCAUGUCAGCUAGACGCUGGAUUGGAUGUUCUUUCUUCUGCUGCUCGUACGACGGCAAGGACCACGCGCUCAUCACAAGGCAGGCGAUUAGAAAGCCCCGGAAAGAACAUUGCUGAUGAUUCUGAUAGUGAUGACGAGUACCACGGAGGUAAUGAUGCUGACUCCGAUGAUGAUGAUGGUGGUGAUGAUAUGGAUUGUCGAGUUGUUCGUCGUCGCCGUAAGGAUCCUUUCGUUGCUUCAGGCAGUGGUACCGCGAAUGUAGCUACGCGCAACGGGCCAGCUGAUGAUGACACCACACAUCUGGAUGAUGCAACUGUCAAAGCUCAUGAGAGCACAACACCAAAUGUUGAAGACACGCCUGUCCGUACUGUCAAUGAGAACCUUAAUGAGUCUUAGAUCAUGCUCACUGGCACCUCUCACGCAGCAUCAGUCGGAUCAGGUGAUGGAGGGCUUAGCUAGCGCGAUUUGACAAACAUGCAAGCUAAGGCGGUCACUGAAUCUUCUGUCAAGCGGUGUGGUUCUUAGCUUCUAAAUUUUUUGGCUUACCAUAGGCGGAAGAAACCGAGGCUAUCAUCACCCCCCGUCCAGCUUCACCAACUGUGCCGCUCCGUCCAACUUCACCAGUUGUGCCCCCCAGCCCAUCGCAAAGGCCGUCUUCACCAAAUGCACCGUCAGUUGCUGAAACUCAUUUAACUAUGAAGAAAGUUGUGGUCCAGGAGCUUGGUAUACGUGUGGCUGAAAAGGAAAAUGGCGUCGCCGUCCCACUAUCCACCAUGCAGAAGGAGGCUCCACGCAGGGCACCUGGCAAACAAGCUGCUGCUGCUAAGGAUUCAGAGAUUGCACCAGUAAAAAUUGCACCUAUGAAACAAGUUGCUGCUGCUAAGGGUUCGCCAAGUGUAUCAGGAAAAAGUCGUUCAAAAGAUAAAACCGCUAUGAAAAAGGUGCAAUUCGCCAAGACCAGAUCUUCUCCAUGACUAAGGGCAGCAUUGCCGCAGAGAACAUCAUCGCAGACAACAGAAGUUAUCCAUCUUGAUGAAUCGCCCACGGCAACGUCUCCGUCCGCGGUCGAAGUACUUGAUGCGACGGGUGGUUCGUUAGCUUCUGAUAAAGCAGCAGCAGCUAGCUUGGGCGCAUCUAAUGCUGUUGCAGCGUCAUCAGCUGGUGUUUCUGAUGACCCUGUAGAUCAGCUCGCUGCAGCGACCAUUGUUACUGUUGUUGGUGAAGAUAUCGCCAGCGCGGCUGAGGCUGGUGAAGGUGAAGAUGAAGUCGUUGCCAAUGUAGGGCAUGAUGAAGCCGUUUGUUUCAUUGAAGAAGUUGUGGGAGGUACCCGAGUCAAUAUGCCUAUUGAUACGACAAUAGCUGAAGGUCAAGAGAAUGAUGCCCAGAAUCCUGCGGCCCCAGUAGUUGACCCUGUGUUGGAGUCGAGCACCCCUGGAGCUGGAGAAGACGCCGAUGUGUAUAUAGCCUAUGGUGAUUUUACGCCACCCAGCUGCUCUCUUGGGCUUGAUGCCAUCUUUGGUGCGAAUCCACAAGUGCCACCAUCUAUUGAAGCAUCUCCAACAGUUCAAGCUGCACCAGCAUUGGCUCCUACGGGUGAAGCUGCACCUCCAUCACUAGAUGCUUCAGCGGCGGUGGCAUCAGCUCAAGUUCCACCUGCGGCACCAGAAGCAUCGGCGGCGGCUCCAUCGGCUCAACUACCACCUGCAGCACCAGAAGCAUCGGCGGCGGCGCCAUCUGCUCAAGUUCCACCUGCCGCACCAGAAGCAUCGGCAGCGGCGCCAUCGGCUCAAGUACCACCUGCAGCACCAUCUACUGGCCAUGUCGUGGUUCUAGGGCUUGCAUCCCCUGUUGCUGCUGACUCCAAGGGCAAGAAGGGAGGGAAAGUUAUCGAUGCGCAACCGGUUGCUUGGGCUCCGCCACGCAACUCUGGUAAGUGAAGACCUUGCGUCUUCGCUUUCGGCAGCAAGAGUGGUGGAUUGACAUAUGUCAGUGUAUAGCUUUUGUUUGUGGUUGGGUGUGCUCCCAAUAUUUAUGUGUUUGGAAUUUUCUAUGCUUUCGUGUGUAUGGAUGAAUGUAAGACUACUUCUGUGCUUUUUGUGAUGAAAAUGAACAUCUGUGCUUUCAGUA